rnacentral:rRNA from 1 species
CAGGGAGACAGGUGGUGGCAUGGUUGUCGUCAGCUCGUGUCGUGAGAUGUUGGGUUAAGUCCCGCAACGAGCGCAACCCUUAUUGCUAGUUACCAUCAUUAAGUUGGGGGACUCUAGCGAGACUGCCAGUGAUAAACUGGAGGAAGGUGGGGAUGACGUCAAAUCAUCAUGCCCCUUAUGACCUGGGCUACAAACGUGAUACAAUGGCUGAAACAAAGGGCAGCGAAGGAGCGAUCUGGAGCGAAACCCAAAAAGCAGUCUCAGUUCGGAUUGAAGUCUGCAACUCGACUUCAUGAAGUCGGAAUCGCUAGUAAUCGCGGAUCAGAACGCCGCGGUGAAUACGUUCUCGGGGUUU